GCUGGGCCUGGUGGUGCAUGCUCGUAAUCCCAUCCACUCAGGAGGCUGAGGCAGGAGGAUUGCAAGUUUGAGGCCAGUCUUAGCAAUUUAAACCCUGUCUCAA
rnacentral:sRNA from 1 species